UUUAAUAAAAUAAAUUAUUAAUUAAAAAUACAUAGUUAUCAUUAUUAAAAUAUAUAAUUAAUUACAGUAAUACCUCUUAAGAUUUGUCUUAAUUACAGUCCAAUUUAUAAGUUAUCUUCUUUUUGAAGAAUGACACUAUUAGUUUUAUAUUAAAUUUUGGCAGUGAAAUGUCUACAUUACUCUUCAAUAUUUAAUUAAUAUAUGAUGAAAAAAUAUUAGAAUGAAAAAUGACUAAAAUGCCCAUCCUAGAAAACCCAACCACCACAACUCUCUCUGUCGUUUCUCUCUCUAACCUUUCAACUCCUCCAUCACCACUCUCUAACCUCUGUUAUGUAACCCUAGCCUUAUUUUCAACCGACAGAAUCUCUCUAUACCCUAACCCUUAGAUCAUGACAAACCCUCUCGAAAUCCGACUGACUGACGACGACGACCAGCACCAUCGACCAUUGUCGACGAUCAAAUUGGCAGCGAUGAUCUUGACGUCUUGGCCAAGGUGAUCAUGGCUUUGGUGUUGAAGAGAUCAUGGCCGUUGAUAUGAUGAAAAUGAUCAUCCCGAUUGCCCGCAUAGGUGGUCUCCUCGAGCUCUCGAUGAACCUCUCCUGUCAUCUCGUUGGAAGCAUUUUCUCAAGACCAAGGCAUGUUUUUGCGAAAUCGUUCCACAGCUCAGAGAACUCCAAUGAGAAUGAAGUAGCAGUUGGGGAAUUCUCAAGCACGACAAUUAGGAAUUCCUCUUAGAAUCAACAAAGCUGCCUAGCAAGUUAAACCCAAGUUUGGUUUGGUAUGUUCUUCACCAAAACCAGGUGUGUGACCCCAAAUGCCUCAUGGGUUUCUUCGAUUGGUCUCGUUACUAAAUGGGUAUCCCUCAAUUCUUGCGAUUUUACUCUACAAUUUGUAUUUAUUUACUAAUACAAAUUGAGUUAUUGAUCGAAUGAUGGAAAGCGAUAAGCCCGUUUCGGCAAUUUUGGAUUCAAUUGUUACUUGUUAUGCGAAUCUUGUGUUUAUAAUGGGGGUAAUGGUUGGGGUUCUAGAGAGGUGAAAGCCGAAGUGGGUUUAUAGAGAGAUAAACAUGUGAUCAUAUAGGUAUAAUUUAUGUGUGGAGAGCAUUUAGCAUAAGGUCUAAAGCAAGAAAAUGCAAAAAAGAGAAUGGGAGAAUCUUCCUUGAUCGUCGCCAUCAUAGGAUUCUCACCACCAUGUCUGUUGUGUGUCGCCAGGAUCUCGUUGCCUUGUCUACGUUGGAAUUGCGUCACCACAAUGUCGUCGUCGCUGCUAGUCGCCGAACAAGAUCUUGUCGACGUCAGAAUCGCUUCACCAUCAUGCCAACACCACUGCUAGUCAAUGUUGCCAGAGCAUCGUCAUCGUUGCUGGAGCCCGAGAGAGAGAGAGUUGCAGAAGUAUAUGGGUAUCUCGUUGAAAGGAUAGAGUUUAGGCUUUAUUAACUAAUCGUUUGAUAUGGAUUAAUUGCUUAGAGUGAGUGAAUGUAAGUCACUAGUUCCGGUGAAUUUAGCAUCUGAAAUGAUGAGUCUUGAAUCAAUGAAGGUAAAUUCAAAUUCGAUGGAAGUUGUAAAGGGACUGAUUGGAGAUUGAUUUUAGACUUGGUGGGUAGAGAGAGAUGGGGAAGAUGAGGGUAUUUUUGUCCUAAAAUUUUUGUUUUAAUUAAAAAAUUCGAGUAAUUCAAAAGUCGAAGGGUAAUAACGUCAUUUUAAUUUGUGUCAGAGCCGGCAGAGUGUCUUGUUAACUUUAUUAAGUUUAUGAAAUCUGAAGGGUUUCAUUAUUUAAAAAGGGAUUAAAUUGUAUAUGACUGUAAUUAAGACAAAUUUUAUGAAGUGUCAUUGUAAUUAACCUUAAAAUAUAAGUUAUUACACAUCAAAGCAUAGCAGCAGAGCAAAUCCCCCAAGGUUAGGGGUGAUAUAGCAGCAGAGCAAAGUAUACUGGUGCAACUCCUCCUCCUCCUCCUCCUUAUUCUUUUUAUUUUCAAUACCGGCACUCAUACUCUCUCAAUAUCUUUUUCUUUAAAAUACUUAAGAAAAUCGUUAAAUAUGUUUUUCUUUUAAAAUAUACGUUUUUUGGAUGAUCACCCAAAAGCUUGUCGCUAAUCAAAAAGUUGAAGUAAUGUCGCCUUAUUUAAGUUUUUUUGAGUUUCCAUCCGUAAAUAUACGUCCAUAUUGCUUUCCAAAAUGAAAGAACUUCUCUUAUGUUGGUCGUUGUCCAUGGAGGCAAGAAUAGAGUUUCUUUCUCCGCACCUCCCCAAUGAAAAUAGAGCCCUCUCUGUUUUUAUUUCAAUGGGUUGCGUUUUUUUCUUCUUUUUUUAUUUUUUUUUUUAUUUUGGAGUUCGAGUCUUUUGAGUUUCGGUUAAUUUUGUUUCCCUUUAUUUGUUUAUUUAUAAUAAUUUCAGUCUUGCUUGGCUUUUGUUUCUUGCCUAUCAAUCAAUUGCGAAGUUUUCAAGAUUGUUUUUUUAGCAUUGUGUCCUUGCAGAGUCUCUGUUUUUAUCAUUGUUAAAGUCUAUUUUUGGUUUAUUUAUAAUUCUGUAUGCAAUGAUUAAUAUGGGUUUGAUUUUUAUUUACUAUGGUUAUAUAUAGAUUUUACUGUAUAUGUAAGGUUAUGGGUUUGAUUAAUGCUCUCUUUAUAAGUUUUUGGGUUUUACGCAAUCUUUCUUUUUCUAUAAUGGUAGUGUACGUGCAAAUAGAGUAAUGGGUUUGAUAUUUCUUUACUAUGGGAUUAUAUAGUUUUUACAUUGAAUUGAUUUUUCUGGAAAGUUACAUGAGUAAUUGAAUUUGUUUCUUCAGUUCUCUCCUUUUAAUUUUAUUCUUAAUUGGUUUUCUUAUCUUCUAUUUAUAAAUUGCUGAGGUAUAUUAAGCACACAAGGAAGUCGAGCUUUCUUCUCUAGGAACGGGUCCAACUAUGGAAAUGCUCAGAGAGUAUAAUCUCAGAAAAUACUCCCCCGGGGAAUUAGAAGAUUUGACCCGUAAUUUUAGUGAAGCAAACUUGAUUGGAGAUACCCAAUUCGGCAAAGUGUAUCGAGGAAAGACUCAGCAAGGUCAGGAUGAAGAUUUAGGAUACUUUCCUAUAGGCCAGGAUGAACACCGUUCCCAAUUGGCGGUAGAAACAAAAGAAUGCAUUUUUCUAAUGGAGUCGAGGGUAAACCAUCAUCCGAGUCUGGUUAAACUUUUGGGAUAUUGCUGCGAAGAUAGUCUAUUGGGUGUUGUUUAUGACCUUAAUCUCAUGGACACAGUGCACAACCUCAUUGAUAAAGAUGGCUUUUCCUGGCUCCACAGAAUCAAGGUGGCAAUUGAUAUUGCACGUCUGCUCGAGUUUUUGCAUUAUCAUCAUAAACCGCAAUACCUAGUUCGCGAUAUUAGUCCUGCACAUAUAAUGGUUGAUCAGGAUUACAAUCCAGUACUAUUCGAUUUUGGUAUGCUAGCUGGUGGGGUUUUUGGUGAUGAGCAACCAAUCGCAAAUAAGUUCGUGCUUGGAGCGCUAGGCUAUGGUGAUCCCAUCAUUAUGAAUUUCGCAACCACUUUGUUGACGAAGUUCGCAGAGUGCAAGCCCCUUGGGCAGCCAUGCAUACUCAAGAACAAUGAUUUAGACAAAUCGCUAGUCUUGAGAGUGGUGGCAACCAGGUUCGUAAUUCUGUUCGGGUUCGUGCUGGAGAUUUUCCUUGCGGUCAAGUAUUGGUUAUGGUCCUGUAAAUCCACGUAGGCCUCCAGCCUAUGCGGAUUAUUCCAAUGACAAAGAAUUCAGAGUCAAAGGAGUUGCGAUGGGGCUACGUGAUCGAUGUAGGCGCGACAACCGUAGAUGUCCGGAUAAUCAUGAAUUUCAAAUGAAACUUAAUCUACUCAGUUUUAAUGGAAAUCUUUAUGUUGAGGAUAUCUUGGACUGUUUGAAUCAGGUUGAACAGUUCUUUAAGUAUUUUGACGUACCUGAAGAAAAGCAGGUUUCGCUUGUAGCAUUCAAGCUUAAGAGAGGUGCUUCUACUUGGGAGCAGACACAAAGCAACCAUAGGAGACAGGGAAAACAUGUCCGAACAUGGCACAAGAUGAAGAAAUUAUUGUUGGCUAGAUUUCUUCCACCAGAUGAUGAACAAAUCCCACAUCACCGGUUCCAAAAUUGCUCGCAGCAGUCUCAGUCUGUUAGUGAGUAUAUUGAUGACUCCGACAGAUUGAAUGAACGCAAUAAAAUCUUAAAGUGGGUGAAUGGGAGAUGGUACAGGACAUCUUCUCGUUUGGCUCUGUGCUUUUGGAGCUCAUAUCCAAAAGACCCUAUACACUAUUGGGCUAAAGCAGAAUGCAUUUGGAGCAAGCCGAAGAAAUCAUUAUUUGGCUGCCCUCUUGAAGAAGUUCUCUCUCGUGCACAAAAGCUUUGAAGAAGAUUUGGGGCUCAGUCAACACGAUGGAUAUAAAAUUACUGACCUGGCAAAAAUUACUGACCUGGCAAUGCGCAGUGUGCGAGACUUGGGCGUACGUCCAUCAAUGAAGGAAGCUGUUCAAACCUUGGAGAGUUUACAUGCCGUUUGUCAUCAUGGUAACCGGGGUUAUUAAUCUGAUGCUCUGUAGGUGAAUAAUGAUGGUGCUUUCUAUUGCUAGAAAAUUCAGUUACCUUGUUACUGUAAUAUAGUGUCCUCCAAGCUCUAAUGUCUUUAGUCUGGAAAACUCAGUCAUUUCAACAAGCUUUUGUGUUACAUUUACCUACUUGAAUCUAAUUUUUCUUUCCCUUU